CUUCUCAAGCAGAUUGUUCACAGAACGUGCCACUCCUUCAAUUAACCUGAAUCAAAAGUCUCUCACGAGUCAAACGAAUUCUGCUGAGGAAUAUUUUGCAGGAAAUGAAAGUAAAGCUGUUAAACACCCUCAGCCUAUCACCAAGUGGCAACCUAAGAUCACGUUCCUGUGUUUACUUCAGUGCAACAUUUGCAUAAAACACUUCCAUCCAUGCACAUAUUUCCUGUUGGGUUGUUAUAGUCAUGCAAAAAAAAAAAAAACAAGACCAACUAAUUAUGGUGUUUCUCCAAAUUUUACCAGUUCAUGCUAAUAAUCACAUUCGUCCCACUUAUAUUAAAUAUUUUUUAUGCACACAAUGUCUAUGUACUGCCCUCGACAAAACCGUAAUAUGCUAAAAUUCUUAUAAAAUAAGACUGGACUCAAGUUAAUUUUUACCUUUUAUGUGGUUUAACAUGCAAUCAUAUCCCUGAUGAAAUAAUUUUCUGCAAUAACUUGCACGGUCACAGAUACAAAACUAUUUACUGAUCAGCUAUUUGUUACUGGAACAUAAUAUAACCUCAGCAAUUGUUACAUUUACAUCAAAAACAGUUGAAAUAAUUUGUUUACUGUUAUGUUACCAUUGUUGUGAAGUUACAGUACAAACAGUUCCAUGCCUCAAAGCAUGAAUGCAAACUCUUCUACUUCAUUAGUAAAAUCAAAAGGUGCCCCCCCCCCAUGCUCUAAUAACGAUGAAGCAUUAAACAGCACAAUUGAAACACAUUAGGAUACCUUCCACCCUUCAGAAGAAACA
rnacentral:misc_RNA from 1 species